CUAGUAUCAUCUUUCUCGGCAAAGACACAAUAAAAUCUUCUUCUGCAUAACGUGAUGUGAGGAUUCCCAAAAACAUCAACACUGAAGUUGAGGAAGAGAAAAGGGACAAUGCAUCGGAUAUUAUAAAGAUGUUGAACAAAAUCUUUU